rnacentral:rRNA from 1 species
CCCUUAGAUGUUCGGGGCCGCACGCGCGCUACACUGACGAAUGCAACGAGCUUAUAACCUUGGCCGAAAGGUCUGGGUAAUCUCCAAAUUUCGUCGUGAUGGGGAUAGAUUAUUGCAAUUAUUAAUCUUCAACGAGGAAUGCCUAGUAAGCGCAAGUCAUCAGCUUGCGUUGAUUACGUCCCUGCCCUUUGUACACACCGCCCGUCGCUCCUACCGAUUGAAUGGUCCGGUGAAGCGCUCGGACCGCGGCCUCUUGACGGUUCGCUGUCGAUUGGCUGUGGGAAGUUCGUUAAACCUUAUCAUUUAGAGGAAGGAGAAGUCGUAACA